rnacentral:rRNA from 1 species
AACGAACGCUGGCGGCAUGCCUAACACAUGCAAGUCGAACGAGAUCCUUCGGGGUCUAGUGGCGCACGGGUGCGUAACGCGUGGGAAUCUGCCCUUAGGUUCGGAAUAACAGUUAGAAAUGACUGCUAAUACCGGAUGAUGACGUUAAGUCCAAAGAUUUAUCGCCUGAGGAUGAGCCCGCGUAGGAUUAGCUAGUUGGUGUGGUAAAGGCGCACCAAGGCGACGAUCCUUAGCUGGUCUGCGAGGAUGAUCAGCCACACUGGGGCUGAGACACGGCCCAGACUCCUACGGGAGGGAGCAGUGGGGAAUAUUGGGCGAUGGGGGCAAGCCUGAUCCAGCAGUGCCGCGUGAGUGAUGAAGGCCUUAGGGUUGUAAAGCUCUUUUACCCGGGAUGAUAAUGACGGUACCGGGAGAAUAAGCCCCGGCUAACUACGUG